AAGAGCGAAGAUCAAGAAGACAAGG
rnacentral:piRNA from 1 species